GAAACUGUGAAACGUAACAAGUACCCGCAAAACACCAGUCUCAACGUCAACAGUGAAGAGGCGACUCCGGAAUGCUGGCCUUCAAGGCAGAGUUGCAAAGAAAAAGCCAUAUCUCAGACAGGCCAAUAAAAAGAAAAGAUUAAGAUGGGCAAAAAAACACAGACAAUGGACAGAGGAAGAUUGAAAAAAAGUGUUAUGGACAGACAAAUCAGAGUUUGAGGUGUUCGGAUCAAGAACAUUGAGGUGUUCGGACAAAGAAGAACAUUCGUGAGACGCUGAACAUUUUUUAAGAUGCUGGAGGAGUGCUUGACGUCAUCUGUCAAGCAUGGUGGAGGCAAUGUGAUGAUCUGGGGGCGCUUUGGUGAUAGUAAAGUGGGAGAUUUGUACAGGGGAAAAGGGAUCUUGAAGAAGGAAGGCUAUCACUCCGUUUUGCAAUGCCAUGCCAUACCCAGUGGACGGCGCUUAAUUGGAACCAAUUUCCUUCUACAACAGGACAAUGACCCAAAGCACAGCUCCACACUAUGCAAGAACUAUUUAGGGAAGAAGCAUUCACCUGGUAUUCUGUCUAUAAUGGAGUAGCCAGCACUGUCACCAGAUCUCAACCCUAUUGAGCUGUUGUGGGAGCAGCUUGACCGUAUGGUACGUAAGAAGUGCCCAUCAAGCCAAUCCAACUUGUGGGAGGUGCUUCAGGAAGCAUGGGGUGAAAUCUCUUCAGAUUACAUCAACAAAUUAACAACUUGUCACGUCCUGACCAGUAAAAGGGGUUGUUUGUUAUUGUAGUGUGGUCAGGGUGUUCACGUUUAAAAAAAAUGAAAGUAUAAGUGUGGACACUUACCACGCUGCGUAUUGGUCCGAUAUUUCUUACUCCUCAGAAGACGAAGAUUAUGACACAACUAGAAUGCCAAAGGUCUGCAAGGCUGUAAUUGCUGCAAAUGGAGGAUUCUUUGACGAAAGCAGUUUGAAGGACACAAUUAUUAUUUCAAUUAAUUAUUAUUUCAUUAUAUAUAUAACCUUGUCAACGUCUUGACUAUAUUUGCUACUCAUUUUGCAACUCCUUUCAUGUAUGUUUUCAUGGAAAACAAGGACAUUUCUAACUGACCCCAAACUUUUGAAUGCUAGUGUAUAUAAAUAUUGCUUUUUAUUUAACUAGGCAAGUCAGUUAAGAACAAAUUCUUAUUUACAAUGACGGCCUUCACCGGCCAAACCCAGACGAUGCUGGACUAAUGGUGCACUGCCCUAUGGGACUCCCAAUCACAGCCGGCUGUGAUACAGCCUGGAUUCGAACCAGGGUGUCUAUAGUGACGCCUCUAGCACUGAGAUGCAGUGGCUUAGACCGCUGCGCCCCUCGGGAGCCCCAUAUCAUGUUAAAUAUAUUAAUAUGGAAACAUAUAAACUCAGCAAAAAAACAAACGUCCUCUCACUGUCAACUGUGUUUAUUUUCUGCAAACUUAACAUGUGUAAAUGUUUGUAUGAACAUAACAAGAUUCAACAACUGAGGCAUAAACUGAACAAGUUCCACAGACAUGUGACUAACAGAAAUUGAAUAAUGUGUCCCUGAUAAAAGGGGGGGUCAAAAUCAAAAGUAACAGUCAGUAUCUGGUGUGGCCACCAGCUGCAUUAAGUACUGCAGUGCAUCUCCUCCUCAUGGACUGCACCAGAUUUGUCAGUUCUUGCUGUGAGAUGUUACCUGACUCUUCCACCAAGGCACCUGCAAGUUCCCGGACAUUUCUGGUGAUGUCUGGUGAGGACCUGCCUUACAACAGGCCUACAAGCCCUCAGUCCAGCCUCUCUCAGCCUAUUGCGGACAGUCUGAACACUGAUGGAGGGAUUGUGCAUUCCUGGUGUAACUCGGGCAGUUGUUGUUGCCAUCCUGUACCUGUCCUGCAGGUGUGAUGUUCGGAUGCACCGAUCCUGUACAGGUGUUGUUACUCGUGGUCUGCCACUGCGAGGACGAUCAGCUGUCCAUCCUGUCUCCCUGUAGAGCUGUCUUUAGCAUCUCACAGUAUGGACAUUGCAAUUUAUUGCCCUGGCCACAUCAGCAGUCCUCAUGCCUCCUUGCAGCAUGCCUAAGGCACUUUCACGCAGAAGAGCAGGGACCAUGGGCAUCUUUCUUUUGGUGUUUUUCAGUGUCAGUAGAAAGGCCUCUUUUAGUGUCCUAAGUUUUCAUAACUGUGACCUUAAUUGCCUACCGUCUUUAAGCUGUUAGUGUCUUGUCUUAAUGAACGUUUCACAGGUGCAUGUUCAUUAAUUGUUUAUGGUUCAUUGAAACAGUGUUUAAACCUUUUACAAUGAAGAUCUGUGAAGUUCUUUGGAUUUUUACCAAUUAUCUUUGAAAGACAUGAUCCUGAAAAUGGGCCGUUUGUUUUUUUGCUGAGUUUACAUGGACCACUGGAACAACAGAAAGCAGACUCACAAUCAUUGCCACUAGUGAUUUUAAACCAAGCUAUAAAGAUGAGUAGGUUAUCAAAAUUAUACAAAGAUGGCCACGUUGGGUUUAUGCAACGAAGACGUAGGGAGUCCGGAAACAAGUGCAGUUGGUGAGUUUAAUAACAAGAAACAUGAAGAUAGACAAGAGAAGCGUACUGGACAUGAAAAUAAAACCAAAAACUGCCUGAAGACUGAGGCUACUGAGGGCUAAAUAAAGGGGAAGUAAUCAAGGUAAUGAUGAAGUCCAGGUGUGUAUAACUAUGGGGAGCAGGUGUGUGUAAUGAGGGUUACCAGGUGUGUAUAACUAUGGGGAGCAGGUGUGCGUAAUGAGGGUUACCAGGUGUGUAUAACGAUGGGGAGCAGGUGUGUAAAGCUAUGGGGAGCAGGUGUGCAUAAUGAUGGUUGCCAGGUGUGUGUAAUGUGGAUUGUCAGGUGUGCGUAAUUAGAGUUGCCAGGUGUGUAAUGUGGGUUGCCAGGUGUAUGUAAUGAGGGUUGCCAGGUGUACGUAAUGAGGGUUGCCAGGUGUGCGUAAUGUGGGUUGCCAGGACCGGUGGUUAGUAGACCGACGACUUCGAGCACCAGAGCAGGAGAGAGGGAGUAGGAGUGACAGUUUAUCCUGUGCAUGUGUGAUUUGUUCUAGAAUAGGGAAAGCUGUGCAUCACAAUAAAUCCACACAAUGCAAGCUCCUUCUGUUGAAUUGUAUAUGUCCUUAAGAUUCAAUCAUGUAAUGAUCUAGGGAGAUUGUGUGGGUGUACUGUAAUAUAGUAUAUGUCCUUAAGAUUCAAUGCUGUAAGGGUCCAGGGAGAAUGUGUGGGUGUACUGUAAUGUAAUAUAGAACUGUAUCUAGACUACUGUACCAUUCCAUCUAAUUACAAUGGAUUCCUAAUGAAAUCUGAUGGUACGCCAUAACCCAUGACCAUGGCGAAUGAAGAUUUAACAUACACACAAACAUACACACACACAAUGAAGACGUAACAUACCGAUGUUUCAUACACACACACAACGAAGAUGUAACAUAUAGUAGUUUCAUACACACAUACACACAUACACACACACAAUGAAGAUUUAAUAUACCGUUGUUUCAUACACACAUACAUCUGCACAAAUACAAGUGCAUGCAGGCACACACACA
rnacentral:lncRNA from 1 species